rnacentral:rRNA from 1 species
AGCGGUAGCACAGAGCAGCUUGCUCUCGGGUGACGAGCGGCGGACGGGUGAGUAAUGUCUGGGAAACUGCCUGAUGGAGGGGGAUAACUACUGGAAACGGUAGCUAAUACCGCAUAACGUCGCAAGACCAAAGUGGGGGACCUUCGGGCCUCAUGCCAUCAGAUGUGCCCAGAUGGGAUUAGCUAGUAGGUGGGGUAACGGCUCACCUAGGCGACGAUCCCUAGCUGGUCUGAGAGGAUGACCAGCCACACUGGAACUGAGACACGGUCCAGACUCCUACGGGAGGCAGCAGUGGGGAAUAUUGCACAAUGGGCGCAAGCCUGAUGCAGCCAUGCCGCGUGUGUGAAGAAGGCCUUCGGGUUGUAAAGCACUUUCAGCGGGGAGGAAGGCGAUAAGGUUAAUAACCUUGUCGAUUGACGUUACCCGCAGAAGAAGCACCGGCUAACUCCGUGCCAGCAGCCGCGGUAAUACGGAGGGUGCAAGCGUUAAUCGGAAUUACUGGGCGUAAAGCGCACGCAGGCGGUCUGUCAAGUCGGAUGUGAAAUCCCCGGGCUCAACCUGGGAACUGCAUUCGAAACUGGCAGGCUAGAGUCUUGUAGAGGGGGGUAGAAUUCCAGGUGUAGCGGUGAAAUGCGUAGAGAUCUGGAGGAAUACCGGUGGCGAAGGCGGCCCCCUGGACAAAGACUGACGCUCAGGUGCGAAAGCGUGGGGAGCAAACAGGAUUAGAUACCCCUGGUAGUCCACGCCGCAAACGAUGUCGAUUUGGAGGUUGUGCCCUUGAGGCGUGGCUUCCGGAGCUAACGCGUUAAAUCGACCGCCUGGGGAGUACGGCCGCAAGGUUAAAACUCAAAUGAAUUGACGGGGGCCCGCACAAGCGGUGGAGCAUGUGGUUUAAUUCGAUGCAACGCGAAGAACCUUACCUGGUCUUGACAUCCACAGAACUUAGCAGAGAUGCUUUGGUGCCUUCGGGAACUGUGAGACAGGUGCUGCAUGGCUGUCGUCAGCUCGUGUUGUGAAAUGUUGGGUUAAGUCCCGCAACGAGCGCAACCCUUAUCCUUUGUUGCCAGCGGUCCGGCCGGGAACUCAAAGGAGACUGCCAGUGAUAAACUGGAGGAAGGUGGGGAUGACGUCAAGUCAUCAUGGCCCUUACGACCAGGGCUACACACGUGCUACAAUGGCAUAUACAAAGAGAAGCGACCUCGCGAGAGCAAGCGGACCUCAUAAAGUAUGUCGUAGUCCGGAUUGGAGUCUGCAACUCGACUCCAUGAAGUCGGAAUCGCUAGUAAUCGUAGAUCAGAAUGCUACGGUGAAUACGUUCCCGGGCCUUGUACACACCGCCCGUCACACCAUGGGAGUGGGUUGCUAAAAGAAGUAGGUAGCUUAACCUUCUGGGGAAGGCGCCCG